GCCCCUAUAGACUAGUGGUAUGUUGCCUAGAUAUAUUUAACAUAUGUUUCGCACUUCUGUCUGGGAGUUGAGGGUUCGACUCCCUCUCGGGGCC